AUACGUAGGGGGCGAGCGUUGUCCGGAAUGAUUGGGCGUAAAGGGCGCGUAGGCGGCCUGUUAAGUCUGGAGUGAAAGUCCUGUUUUCAAGAUGGGAAUUGCUUUGGAUACUGAUGGGCUUGAGUGCAGGAGAGGUUAUCGGAAUUCCCGGUGUAGCGGUGAAAUGCGUAGAGAUCGGGAGGAACACCAGUGGCGAAGGCGGGUAACUGGACUGCAACUGACGCUGAGGCGCGAAAGUGUGGGGAGCAAACAGGAUUAGAUACCCUGGUAGUCCACACUGUAAACGACGAAUGCUAGGUGUAAGAGGUAUCGACCCCUUUUGUGCCGGAGUUAACACAAUAAGCAUUCCGCCUGGGGAGUACGGCCGCAAGGUUGAAACUCAAAUGAAUUGACGGGG
rnacentral:rRNA from 1 species